UAUAAUUAGUAUUUUUCUUUGUCUAAGAAAAAGUAAUUUAUUUUUUAUGAAAUUU
rnacentral:tRNA from 1 species